rnacentral:rRNA from 1 species
AGAAUCAACGCUGGCGGCGCGCUUAACACAUGCAAGUCGAACGAGAAAGCGGGGGCAACCUCGUGAGUAAAGUGGCGUACGGGUGAGUAACACGUGGGUAAUCUACCUCUUGGUGUGGAAUAACGCUGGGAAACCGGCGCUAAUACCGCAUAAGCUCGGGAGAGGAAAGCAGCAAUGCGCCGAGAGAGGAACCCGCGGCCGAUUAGCUAGUUGGUGAGGUAACGGCCCACCAAGGCAAAGAUCGGUAGCCGGCCUGAGAGGGCACACGGCCACACUGGCACUGAAACACGGGCCAGACUCCUACGGGAGGCAGCAGUGGGGAAUCUUGCACAAUGGGGGCAACCCUGAUGCAGCGACGCCGCGUGAGCGAUGAAGCCCUUCGGGGUGUAAAGCUCUUUCGGCAGGGAAGAAUCAUGACGGUACCUGCAGAAGCAGCUGCGGCUAACUACGUGCCAGCAGCCGCGGUAAUACGUAGGCAGCGAGCGUUGUUCGGAGUUACUGGGCGUAAAGGGUGUGUAGGCGGUCCUCUAAGUUUGGUGUGAAAUCUCCCGGCUCAACCGGGAGGGUGCGCCGAAAACUGGGGGACUAGAGUGCGGGAUGGGAGAGUGGAAUUCCUGGUGUAGCGGUGAAAUGCGUUGAUAUCAGGAGGAACACCGGUGGUGUAGACGGCUCUCUGGACCGUAACUGACGCUGAGACACGAAAGCGUGGGUAGCAAACAGGAUUAGAUACCCUGGUAGUCCACGCCCUAAACGAUGCAUAUUUGGUGUAGGUCAUUCAGUUGAUCUGUGCCGGAGCUAACGCGUUAAAUAUGCCGCCUGGGGAGUACAGUCGCAAGGCUGAA